AUUCUCUCAUUUUCAUCUGCUGUUAGACCAUUAGGUGUCUCUUUCGGUCUCUAAAUGAUGAUGAGGCCUCGGAUGACCCGAAGCAGUCUUUCUAUGCUUGCGGUAUCAACGGAGAACUGAAGCUCAAAACGAGAAGCGGUUUGGCUCCAGGAUUCGGCAACGGAUUCUUCUCGGCAGUGCAAGGUGAGUUUCGCCCGGCCACUGUUUCCUUUCAAUAUAUGAGCUGUGUCAUGGUCAACAGUUGCUCAGAUUUGGCAGAGUGUUACAACUUUCCCACAAAAAAUUUGCGUUCCCUUUUUGCCUCAGCGUGGCCACGGCUACUUUUGUUGUUUGAGGAGCUGAUGAUGGCUGCCGGAGCACCGCCAUCAUCAGCUUGGUGGAAGUUGCAGUCAGUCUCCGGUGGCUGAACCUUAGACAGAGCAAAAAAGGUCUUUUUCUUAUUUGAACUUUGAACUAGACCGCGACGGUCAAUACAUGUCAUCUGCUUAAAGAAAAUCUUGCAAUACUUAUUUAAUGGAAGGGCAUGAUAUAGGAAUUUUAUGUAGAAUUCCAUAGAAUAUGGUAUAUCUUUUUCAUUUGUCUGAGUUGGAUAUACCAGUGGAUAUGCUUUUACUUUCCCCUUUAUUAUAUAUAUUCAGCUCAAUUCUGUUAAAAAACACCAACUCAAACUCGAGUCUCUUAGAAAAACACCAACUUUAGGUUGGGUCUCAAAUUUAACUUAAGCUUUUUCUUGUCUCGUAAAAAAACAUUAAUUUUAGCUCAUUACCUAAUUUUGGCCUAUAAACCAAAAAAGAAAAAGAAGCAAUUCUGCUCUAAAUUUUUUUAUUGAAAUCGUAAACACCAUCAGUCAGCAUUCAAAUCCGGCCCUUGUCAAGUUUCCAUUUAAUAUGAUAUUAAAGAUUAGAAUAUUCAAUGUGUCAUUUUAUGUGUACUCGGUGAAAAUUUGAUGGAAACUUGACAUGACUUAGAUUCAGGUGUCAACUAAAAGUAUGAGACAAUAAAAAAGUUUGGGCCUAGAUUGGGACCCAGCCUAGAUUGGUGUUUUUGAAUGACAUAAAAUAAAGUUUGGAUCAUAAUUAGGACACGAUUUAAAGUGGUUCUUUUUCAUGAGAUUGAAAGAAGUUUGGGCCAAAAUUGGAACAUGGCCUAAAGUUUAUUAUUUUUUAAAGGAAUUAAGUCUAAAUAUAUCUUGCAAAAUGCUAAGGGAAAACGAAACUUUUAUUAGACGUCCAAGUAUACAUUAUAGAGGGCAAUUAUGGUUGAUGCAAUUACUAUGUGUGGUCUAGGUCUUUCUUUCUUUUUUUGGGGGGUGAGCAUGGUUCUAGGAUAAAAUUGGAAAUCCGAAUGAACCAUUUCAAUUCCAGGGUAUGCAGGGUAGACUCCAAGUUCCAAAAUUGGGGAACCAGUUCUAACAGGUAGGUUCAAAAAAUUGAGGACUCGGAACUUGUCUUUGUGUUUUUCUUAUUCUAUAUUUUUGUGUAAUCUUGCAGUAUUCCAAAGCAUCUAAUGAUGAGGGUGUGAUUUAAAACCACUAGUCUAAGCUUUCAUUUUCGACGAUAUCCAUAACCGAUAGUUUUAUUUGUUCAGAUUUCAUAUUCUUCUAGAUUCUAAAUAUGAGUUAAGGCUGGUAGACUAUAGCAGUAAACGGUACUCAUUAGAGAUGAUAAUUCAAUUAAGAAUAUAUGUGGAACAUAAAUAGAUCUCGAAAUCUAUGAAUUUAUGAUAAAGUAAAUUUUAGGUUUUAAGGUAUGCAGAGUAGGUUUUUUAUUCCAAAAAUUGGAAAAGCAAUUUCAACGGAUAGAUUCUAAUUUUCAAGUGAAAUCAGGAUCAAUAGUAGAACUAGUCACCCCUACAUGCUAUUCUUAUUAUUUUCCUGGACUCUCACUAGGGAUCAUUGCCCAUCAUAGCAACGUGAGCUUACUGUGUUGGACGCAAAAAGACACCACAACCAAGAUAAAGGCAAAAGAUGAUCAUACAACUAACCAUUUAGUCGAGAUAGAUGGCUAAGUGGAAGGCAUAAUGGACUAGUUUGACCAUGACUUUUACUGUGCAAAUGUCUCUCACUGAGGCCAGCUUUUCCAUGCAUUGGAACCAUGGAAACAAAAGGUCUAGAUAUAACGUUUAGCAAAACGAUUUACCACCAAAUCCAUAAAAAAAAAAAUGCUGACUCCAAAUUUCGAAAAAGAUUUUCAUUUUGCUCCCAAACAAUUUUCUCUAGCACCUUACGUUGAGUUGGACGAUGUUUUACAUUGCUUGGAGCCAGUGAAACUAAAGGUCGAGAUCAGACGUCCAAGAAAAUGACUUUCCCCCAAAUCCAAACAAAUUACCAAUUCCUACUUCGGAAAAAGAUUUCUAUAUGCUCUCACAAAUAAUUUUUUCUUGCAACCAUGUUCUGCAUUCAUUGAAACGAGUGAAACAAAAUGUCUAAAUUCGACUUUUAGGAAAAUGACUUACCACCAAGUCCACAAAAAUUGCUGACCCUGACUUUGGAAGAAGAUUUUAUAUGCUCCCCAAACAAUUUUCUCUUGCAGUCUGUGAGUAGUGCAAGUUUUUACAUUAAUUGGAACCAGUAAAACUAAAAGUCGAGAUCCAACGUCCAAGAAAACAACUUUCCACCAAAUCCAAACAAAAUGUUGACUCCUACUUUGAAAAAAGAUUUCAAUAUGCUCUCGCAAAGUUUUCUUGCAACCGCGUGUGAGUGGGACGACAUUUUACAUUCAUUGGAACGAGUGAAACAAAAGGUCUAGAUUUGACUUUUAGAAAAAUAACUAUCAACCAAAUCAACAAAAAUUGCUCACUCUGACUUAGGAAAAGGAUUUUCAUACACUCCCCCAAACAAUUUUCUCUUGCACCGUGCGUGAGUGGGACGAGUUUUUACAUUGAUUGGAACCAACGAAACUAAAGAUUUAUAUUGAUGUCCAAGAAAACGACUUUCCACCAAAUGCAAAAAUGCUCUCUCAAACAAUUUUUUCUUGUAGCCAUGUAAAAAUGGAAUAAGAUUUUAUUUUCACUGGAACGAGGGAAACAAAAGGUUUAGAUUUAACUUUUAGGAAAACGACUUUCCACCAAAUUCACAAAAAGUGCUGACUUCAACUUUGGAAAAAGAUUUUCAUAUGUUCCUCAAACAAUUUCCUCUUGCAACAUGGAUGUAAGGGACGCGCUUUCACAUUGCUUCAAACCAGUGAAAUUAAAUGUCGAAAUUUGACGUCUAAGAAAACGACUUUCUACCAAAUCCAAACAAGUUGCUGACUCCUACUUUGCAAAAAGAUUUCUAUUUGCUCUCUCAUACAAUUUUUUUCUCGCAACCAUGUGUGAGUGGGACAAGCUUUUACAUUCAUCGGAACGAGUGAAACAAAAUGUCAAGAUCUUACCUUUAAGAAAGCAACUUUCCACCAAAACCACAAAAUAUAGUUUCAAUCACUUUUGUUAAUUCUUUUUAACACUAAUUGUUGAAAAAGGGGAAAAAAAUAGAAAUGGGAGGCAAGAAAAAUUAAUUCAAUAAUAAAUAAUACAAAAACAAAUUCAAAAAUAAGUAAGAGAAUAUUAACCAGCCAAUAGAACUAAUAAAGUUAUUUUCUUCAAAUUAAAUAAAAAGCGAAAAUCCUCAAUAAAAAAAGAAGAGAAAAUGGUAAAAAUUUAUUACUCGAUGUAUGUUUAAAGAAUUAUUAAUGUAAAAAAUAAUUGAUUAUUAAAAAAUUUUAAAAAAUAAAAGAAUAUGACUAAUCGAAAUCCCAAGUGAUAUAUUUUAUUGUUCACAGUUUGUUUUAUUGAUUGACCAUUUAAAAGUACACAAAUAGUAUCCAAAUUUUGGAAUUAGGCAUUGUUGCUGUUGAGGUAUUCUUUCCCAGUUUGCUUAUUUUUGUUUCCUUUUCUUAAAAUAUCUUAUCAAUUAAAUUUAAUAAAUUUUACAUGUUAAUAAUUAUCUUUUCUGAUAUCAAAUUUUAAUUAACUUAUCUUUCUCCAUUUUCUUUAUUUUUCAUUUUUUUAAUAGAAAUCAAGGAUAAAAGAGAGAUUCCUAUAAAAAGAGUUACCAUUAAAAAAAAAGUCACGUGCAUUACAUAUGCUAACAGAAAAUAUAAUGGACAGUUAAUGGUUGUAAUAAAAUGAAAGAUCAUGGGGGUAAUAAGUAACAACUGAAAAUUCGAAGACAAAUGUGUACUACAACAGAAAUUUGAGAUAAUUUUGCGUAAUUUCCCCCUUUUUAUCUUUUGGCUUUCGUCUUAUUUUUUAUUUUGGAUUCUAAGGUUUUCUAUUUUUUUUUAAUUUUCUUAUUUGACGUGGCACAUCAACACGGCAUAUGCCAAAAAACACUAAAAGAUGCUUCUAACAUAUCAGGUCAGGAAAGUUGGGUACCAUCACGCUAGAAGGAAUUGAUUUUUAAAACGUUAGGGACUGAUCGCAAUUUUCAAACGUUUGGAUACUUGAUUUUAAUUAGCAAAAACGUGCAAUUUUCCCCCUUUUCUUCUGAAAUAGAUGUCAAAGGUUAUGCUUACACAGUUACAGUAUCUUUGGUAGAGGAGAUCCGGAGGAAGGAACAAAAAAAAUUUAGAAGUGAUAUCUCCUUCCUUUUUUAAUGUAAGAAGAAUAAAGUAAUGGGUUAGGAGCGAUUGGAAGUAAUUAAUAGAAAUGAAUACCAAAAAAAAAAUCAAAUCCUUUCCUCCUCUUUGAUUUUCUUAUUUUCCUUUUGAUUCACAUCUAGCAUUGGAGAGAACUAUAUGCUCUCGAAUAAAUGGAGACAAUGGGACGAAUGUGUCGUCGGUUGAAACGUGAAAAUUACCUCUUUUUCUUAUUUGCAUGAUCGAGUGAGAAACGUGUGCUAAAAAUAAAUCCGCCGGGGGAAUGCAUUUAGAUACUGCGUGCCACGCUCAUUCAAUAAUUUCUCUCAUUUUCAUCUGCUGUUAGACCAUCAGGUGUCUCUUUGGGUCAACGAACGGUAAUGAGGCAUCAAAUGAC
rnacentral:lncRNA from 1 species